AGUAGUUGUACUCCUCGGCACAGGACGAACGCUGGCGGCGUGCCUAACACAUGCAAGUCGAGCGAUGAAGUCCUUCGGGAACGGAUUAGCGGCGACGGGUGAGUAACACGUGGUAACCUGCCUUAUAGAGGGGAAUAGCCUUCCGAAAGGAAGAUUAAUACCGCAUAAAGUUGUUGAUUCGCAUGGAUCGAUAACCAAAGGAGCAAUCCGCUAUAAGAUGGACCCGCGGCGCAUUAGCUAGUUGGUGAGGUAAUGGCUCACCAAGGCGACGAUGCGUAGCCGACCUGAGAGGGUGAUCGGCCACAUUGGGACUGAGACACGGCCCAGACUCCUACGGGAGGCAGCAGUGGGGAAUAUUGCACAAUGGGGGAAACCCUGAUGCAGCAACGCCGCGUGAGUGAUGAAGGCCUUCGGGUUGUAAAGCUCUGUCUUUGGGGACGAUAAUGACGGUACCCAAGGAGGAAGCCACGACUAACUACGUG
rnacentral:rRNA from 1 species